UACAGAGGUCCCAAGCGUUGUUCGGAUUCACUGGGCGUAAAGGGUGCGUAGGUGGUGAGGUAAGUCGGAUGUGAAAUCCCGGGGCUCAACCCCGGAACUGCAUUCGAUACUGCCAGGCUGGAGUACUGGAGAGGAGAUUGGAAUUUACGGUGUAGCAGUGAAAUGCGUAGAUAUCGUAAGGAAGACCAGUGGCGAAGGCGGAUCUCUGGACAGUUACUGACACUGAGGCACGAAGGCCAGGGGAGCAAACGGG
rnacentral:rRNA from 1 species